GAAGCGUCUUCGUACUCUCUCAGAAUCUUCAAUAGAGUGGAGCAGCUCUUGCUGUCUGUUCGGAUGAAAAACAUGGUGUCAUCGACCAACAGUAAGUGAUUAAUUCGUGGACUGUUUGUUGCAACUUUAACACCAGGUAGAUUUCCAUUAUUUUGAGCCUCUAAGCAUAGACCUGAUAGCACUUUGCUGCACAGGAUGAAGAUAUAGGGAGAGAUAGGAUCUGUUAGGGGAUUUUUGUGUAGGCUCUUUGUGAAUACUACAGAACGAUGGAUAGGCUGGUAAACCGGGUGAAUUUGUAUGUGUUUCGUGAGGAUUUAAAGAGAAUGAUAAAGAAAUAGGCUUGAAGAGACGUAUUAUUGAUCAGGCAAACAAGAACAAGGGCGGUUACAAUGAUCUUUUAAUAAACCCUAGUUCUAGCUCUCUAAUUCUAGUCUCUAAGCCUUGGAGAAGUCGAUCCCUUGCGUUAGGGUUUUAGUAGCUCUUAUUGAAGGUCUUGUAGCCAUAUGGCUUGUUUAGCCGCUUCAGUGGCCGCCAUAAGUUCAGCCUCACAAGAUGAUAGUGCAACUAUCUCUUGUUUACAUGAACACCACGAUAUUGGACUUGUAUUGAGGUAAAAUACAUGUCAUGUAGUGCUCUUACCAUCAUCGCCAUCAACAUUGUGAGAGCUAUCACUCAACCCCCACCAGCUCUAAACUCGUUGCUUGCGUGAACAUGAGCCCAAGAGAUGUUGUUCCACGUAAAUAAUGCAAUACCUGCUAAGCAGCACCAUGAGAUUCAUUGGGGAUCUUGCAUAUAUCUACUUAACACCCCGACACUAAAACUCACAUCAGGUCGAGUGUGAACUAAAUCUCCCAGACAUCCCACACUUCUCCUAUACGCAUUCGCAUCUAUACUCUUUUCUUCGGCUGACUUUGAUAACUUAACGUUCGAAUCCAUGGGAGUGUGGGUUGGAUUGCACACACUCAUUCCAGUUUCUUCAAGUAUCUUCUCUGUAUACCGUUCUUGUUUCAACAUAAUACCAUCUCGAUGUUGAAGAACUUUGAUGCCCAGAUAAUAUGUAAGCUUGCCAAGAUCUCUCAUCUCGAACUUUGUUGCCAUCUCCUACUUAAACUUGAGUAUUAACUGCAACGAAGUCCCCGUGACCAGCACAUCGUCGACAUACACCACCACCAAGAGAAUUCCACCUUUUGCCUCUUUUCUAUAUAAAGGGGGAUCUUUAGAACACUUUUUAAACUUGAAUUCAAGGAGAAUCUUGUUUAACUUAGUGUUCCAAGCUUUGGGAGCUUGUUUUAAACCCGUAGAAAGCCUUCUUUAGUUUGUAAACCUUCCCUUCUUUGCCGGUGACUUCAAAACCUUCUGGUUGUUCCACAAACACUUCUUCUUUCAACUCUCCAUGCAAGAAUGCGAUUUUUACAUCCAGGGGAUGUACUCCCAUCCCUUUGAAGCUGCUAGUGCUAUAACCAAUCGAAUUGUCUCAAUACGUGCCACUAGUGCGAAGACUUCGUCAUAAUCAAUCUCAUGCCUUUGAACGUAACCCUUUGCCACCAAACGUGCUUUGUAUUUGCUGAUGCUUCCAUCCGCGUUUCUUUUAAUCUUAAACACCCACUUUAAGCCAAUAGGUUUCAUCCCUACAGGAAUGUCAAUGAGUUCCCACGUGUUGUUCUUCUCUAUAGAGAAUAUUUAAUAUUUGCAAGCAUCGACCCAUACCUUUAGUUCCUUAGCUUCGGUGCAAUCCAACUGUUCGUUGUUUAUAAUCAUUAGAAAAUGUUCUCCUUCAAUCUCUGCGAUGAUGAUGUAGUCAUCUUGUUCGUGAGUCAUUAAGUUUGUGCUGAGAUCGUGAAACUAUAUUUGGUAUCAGAACCAGGAUCACAAUAAGUGAUGUUAAAGAAGAAGCCGAGUUGAACACGAAGGAAUCCGGAUCUUCCUCGAUCAAGUUUCCAGUGCUAAAUUCUACAGACUAUAUUGUGUGGGCUAUGAUAAUGAAGAAUUCCCUCAAGGUCAACAAAAUCUGGGAAUCUACUGAUCCAGGGAACAAAAUCGAAGAGAAACAAUAUAGCUAUUGCUCUGAUUUUCCAAUCAAUACCAGAGGCAUUGACCUUGCAGGUCAGGGAUCUUGACACGGCAAAGGCGGUAUGGGAUGCAAUUAAGGCAAGACACGUUGGAGCUGAGAGAGUAAGAGAAGAAAGAUUGCACACUCAUGCAAGAGUUUGAUCUACUCAAGAUGAGGGAAGAAGACACGAUCGACACAUUCGUUGGGAGACUCUCUGAAAUUUCAUCAAAAUCGUCCUCUCUAGGAGAAGUCAUUGAAGAAACUAAAAUUGUGAAGAAAUUUUUUAAAGAGUCUUCCAAGAAAGAAAUACAUACAUAUUGUCGUGUCGUUGGAGCAAGUUUUGAAGCUUAACACUAUGAGCUUUGAAGAUAUUGUGAGAAGAUUGAGGGCCUGUGAGGAGAGAAUAUGUAUAUAAGAAGAACAGCAACAAGAUGACUCCGGAAAGUUGAUGUAUCCUAACUCUGAAACGCAACAAGAUGGCUACGGGAGUUACAGCACUAACAGAGAUAGAGGGCGAGGAGGUCGCUCUACAUGGAGAGGAAGAGGCCGUAGCAGGUUUGGAAACUUCCAAGCCCAACGAGAUGCGUAUAAACAAGGUCAAGGUCUGGUACGAGACACUUCUCACAUCGCAUGCUUUCGAUGUGAUAAAUUUGGUCAUUAUACAUCAGAAUGUCCAGAUAGAUUGCUCAAGCUUCAAGAAACAGUCGAAAAGAAGACCAAAGAUACACAGGAAGCUGAUGAAUUUAUGAUGCAUGAGGUAGUCUAUCUCAAUGAAAAGAAGGUGUAUCCAAGUGUUUUCGAUACAGAUCUUGACACAUCAAAUAUUUGAUAUCUUGACAAUAGAGCCAGCAACCAUAUGAGUGGAAGUCGAAUGUUCUAAGUGAAGCUUGACGAGUCAAUCACCGGAAAAUGAGGUUUGGAGAUGAUUCCCGCAUUGAUAUGAAGGAAAAAGGCUCGAUCAAGUUUGUAUUCAAAGGAGGUGAGAAAAGGAUCUUGCACAAUGUGUAUUACAUACUAGGAUUGAAGAGUAAUAUAGUUUGUUUGGGCCAAGCCACCGAGGUAGGAUGUGAAGUACGGAUGAAAGAUGAUCUUCUAAUGUUAUACGAUCGUUUCGGUACUCUGAUGGUUAAAACUACUCGGUCGAGGAACAGACUUUACAAGAUCACUCUGCACAUCGAGAAUCACGAAUGCUUGCAAAUCACGUCAUCGAAUGAAACCUUCAAGUGGCAUGCACGGCUCGGCCAUAUGAACACUGAGACGAUAAAAAAGAUGAUCAGCAAGGAACUUGUAACUGGCAUACCAACCAUUGUCACCGAUAAAGAAACAUGUAUGUCAUGCAUGCUUGGAAAACAAACGAGAAAGCCAUUCCCACAAGCUACUACAUACCGAGCCUCUCGUGCUCUUGAGCUCGUUCACGGUGAUCCCUGCGGACCCAUCACACCAUCUACACCGGCACAUAAGAGAUACGUAUUUGUGCUUAUCGAUGAUCAUUCACGUUACAUGUGGACCAUACUGUUGAAAGAAAAGAGUGAAGCUUUUGAUAAAUUUCGACGGUUUAAGAUGUUAGCUGAGAAAGAAACAACAUCGACAUUGAAGACUUUUAGGUCAGGCAGAGGUGGGGAAUUCAUGUCACGAGAAUUUCAAAUAUUUUGUGACGAAACCGGUGUUAACAAACACACGACAGCACCAUAUUCUUCUCAGCAGAAUGGUGUUGUUGAAAGACGUAAUCGAACGCUUCUCGAGAUGACCAGGAAUAUUUUGAAGCAUAAAAACGUACCGAAUGAACUUUGGGAUGAAGCUGUGAGACACAGAAUUACGACAAGAUCUUUGGUCGGGAGGACACAGUAUGAGGUCCUAUGAAGCAAGAAACCAGACCUCUCACAUCUGAGAAUCUUCGGGUGCAUCUGCUAUGCCAAGACACACACAGUAGGAAGAAAGAAACUCGACGACAGGUCCAAGCUCUUAGUUCACUUGGGGACUGAUCCCUGUUCGAAAGCCUACCGGCUACUCGAACCAGUCAGCAAAAGGAUAGUAGUUAGUCUUGAUGUUGUACUCGACGAAGACAAAGGCUGUAACUAGAACAAAGAUAUGACGACCCAGGAUGUAGAUGGUGGGAGUUUUGUGAUCAAUAUGAGAUCAGUAAUUGAAGGCACUGAAACUCAAGAAGGUCAGAACGAGACUGAUAUAGGCGAUGAUGUUCAUGAAAUAACUAAUGAUGAAGAGAAUGAUAACCAUAGCCACCAUGAAGAAGAUCAACCAAGACGAUCCUCCAGAACAUGUCUCUGAUAUCAAAUAUAAUUUCACGAUCUCAGCACAAACUUAAUGACUCACGAACAAGAACUGUGUUAAUAAGUAUAACUCUCUUAUUUAUCUUUUAAAGGAAAUAGUGCUCAAAAACCUUAAGCUCUCAAAUCACUCACACAAAUCACAAUAUGCAAACAUCAUAUGCAUCUUCUUAUAUAAGACUAGAAAACUCCUAAUCCUAUUAGUAAUAACACUUUUCAUUACUUCCUAAUUCUUUUAGAUUGCCAUAACUCGAUAGGAUUAUGAUAGCUUGUUUCUCAAGCUAACUUCGAACUCACUCCAACAAUUUGGUGUACUAUUUUUCUCGGUUUGGUUGUUGAUAAACGAGAGGUCUUGCUUUUACUCUACUGCAGUAUGAGUAUGAGUUUAGAGAUGAAUCGUCAUGACAUUUGGCUGUCCAUCUACUAUGACACACACCGCAUGACAUUUACUACUCUAGUAGAUAAUUCCUACCACCAAGGGCUUCAGGAGCCUUAUCACCAUGUAAAGUAUUUAGAUUUAUGAUUGCAUUUUAGGCAGGAGCAAGGGUUUUAGGCGCCAUAUUCCUAUUCUUUAUAUUAUAAGGGUAUUCUAUUCCUUAUAUAUAAGGGCAUUAGACUUCUUAAGUCCAUGAAGUGUAGUGGUCUCAGAUUCUUUUCUCAUUCUAGUGGUGGUAGGUUCGAAGCCAUACAGAUUAUUUUAUUUUACUCCCCUCUUUUGAUACUGAUAAUAAAUGAAACUUAUACGACUGCGUUUCGAAACAGGUUAGCUUAUUCCCUUUUAACAGAUUUUUUUUAUUAUUAUAUGGAGUAUUAUAUUAAAUGAAGUGUAAAAUAAAAACCUAAUGAUCAUUUAUUCAUUCUAACAAUUUGAUUUUUCUUUCAUCUUAGUCGUUUAAAAAAAAAUUAUGUCCUUAACUUUUUAUUGAUUGUCGCAUUUUUUUAAUUUUUAUUGUAAGUUUUCUUAUCCUUCUUCUCUAUUUUUGUAAUUUUUAUAAUCUGUUUUACAAAAAUCAAAAUAUAAACAAACAUAAAAUUAACCUAAAUAAGUUAAUUUUAUGUAAAAAUUUGAAAAUUUAAUAGUAUUUUGCAAAUUUAACUUAAUGUUAAUGUGAUUUGGAUGGGUUAGUCCUUUAAAAAUAUUGUGAAUGGAUGGUAGAGAAAAAAAAAGAAUUUCAUAAAUAAUAUGUAGAAGUUUUUUUUUGGAAAGCGAUAAAUUUUUAGUAUUAAUUUAUAUUUUGAUUACAUAAAUAAAAACGGAAAUAAAAUAUUAAUAACAUGUAUAAAGAUUUGUGCACUUUGGCGCCAGUUACGUCCAAACCGGCACUGACUCUACGUAGGGUUGUCAAUUUACUAGUGAAUUUUUCAAAAUGAAAGUGAUAAAAAUAAAUAAUGGUACAAUGAAAGUGGUAAACACGAAAUUCUCUCUAUCAAAUAUUUUAUGCACUCGCUAUUAAAAAAAAUGCUAAGCGAAUGUAGUAACACUAAUAUCUAAAUAUAACUGCUUUGUUCUUUCUUUCUAACACAUUUUAAAUGGAAAAUACUAAAAGGGCUAAAAUAAAGUAUAUGAAGAAACUAUAAACACAAGCAGCACCGACUCAAAUUAUUUACGGGCCUUGUUCAAAACCAUAUUAGUUUAACGAGAUAAUAUAGUAGUUUUAAAAGUUUAUAACUGUUUAUAACUAUAUAUAUGUGAUGUCUCUUUUAAAAUUAUAAGCUUUAACUUUAGUAAUAUACCUAAAAAUUCUAAAGGCUUCGAACACAGUAUAUUUAUCUUCAAAAAUUUCUUCUUUUUUUAAGUUUUAAAAUUGGACCAUGUUCGACCGCUCCACUUAUUUAUGUUAUUAGACGUCCUGAACUCAAGUACCGAAAUAACUGGAACAUAUUUUCUCAAGAAACCCACGAAGUGGAGAAUGCAACAGUUGAUCCAAAAAAAAAGAAUACAGCGAUGUGUUAACAGAAGAUUCCACUAACAAAAGCCAAACUGCUGUUGAUGUUAACAGAGCAACCUUUGUUUCUUUUUGGUUCGAUGCAGAAUACAUUUAAUAAUCAAUCUUGCUAGACUAGUAAAGAGUCAAAUAAUCAUAACCAAUAAAGCUGAGGCUCUUACAAGAUUUAAGUAACAAUAUGCAAAAGCCUAGAGGACGGAGUCUCCACAAAAUGCUUUUUGCUUUUUAACUAUCUAAUCUGAAUAGUAAAUUGAAAGCCAAUCAAACAUAUUAUCAUUCUGCUUCACCUCAGAGAAUAAACAUAACUCCUCUUUUUGGCUCCUUCCUUGGUAAGCCCGACUAAAUACGACAUCUAUGCUUGUAGAGGGUGGUUUUGAAGAUAUACCAAGCCUCAGUGAUAAAUCGCAGAGCCUCUAUGUUGCUUCUUCCAGGACCUUUAUACCAAUAGGCAUGCCAACAAUUAUAUGUGUUUCACUUCAGGGACUCUUAAAGACAUGUCCACCUGAUCAUUACCUCCAUAAUACAAAGGAUAGACCGAACUCAAGUUGAUUGGAGCUGGAGCACUGCUAGUUUUUUAGCCAAUGGCUUUUGCUGCAUCUGCAUGGAUUCAUGUAGAAACGGGUAACUGCGAGGAGGAUCAGCUAGGCGACUGUUGCUAUUGUCAAGAACAUCCACUGGGAUUGCAGCUUGAGCGGCAUUAAUGAACAUGCUGAUAGAUAUUCAUAACUGUUUUUUUACCAAAAAAAAAAAAAAAUUCAUAACUGUAUUGCAGCUUAUUAACGGAUGCAGAAACCAGCUAGUUAGGACAUCUCCAAUUUAUCUCUUUUUUUUUCAAUAUGAAGUAAACUCAAAAUGUGUUUGUAUAUUAUUUCAAUGGUUUUCUUCAUACCCC
rnacentral:lncRNA from 1 species